rnacentral:rRNA from 1 species
GUGAGGAAUAUUGGUCAAUGGGCGAGAGCCUGAACCAGCCAACUCGCGUGAAGGAUGAAGGUUUUAUGAAUUGUAAACUUCUUUUGCAGGGGAAUAAAGUACGGUACGUGUACCGUUUUGUAUGUACUCUGCGAAUAAGGAUCGGCUAACUCCGUGCCAGCAGCCGCGGUAAUACGGAGGAUCCAAGCGUUAUCCGGAUUUAUUGGGUUUAAAGGGUGCGCAGGCGGGUUGAUAAGUCAGCGGUGAAAGUUUGCAGCUUAACUGUAAAAUUGACGUUGAAACUGUCGAUCUUGAGUGCAAAUGAGGUAAGCGGAAUGUGUUGUGUAGCGGUGAAAUGCUUAGAUAUAACACAGAACACCGAUUGCGAAGGCAGCUUACUGGGAUGCAACUGACGCUCAUGCACGAAAGCGUGGGGAUCAAACAGGAUUAGAAACCCCUGUAGUCC